CAAAACAGGUGCAGCUGAGCAGCGUUGAUCUGUUUGCUGUAGCAGUGAUGGUGUAACUGAGAAGGUACAUUAUUUCACAGUCCUAGGGUUAAAACUGUUCAUAUUUAAGGGGAAGGUUACAAGUAUAAAUUUUACUUUUUCCACCUUAGAAAAAUCUGGUUCUGGAAAGCAGAACUUUCAGUAGGCUGAGUAUUCCAAUCGACAGCCUUGCACAGGAUUAGGUAGUUUGUUUAUGUUUUGAAGGCCAAUCUGCAUGUUCUUAGCAGUGUUGCAGCACAGCUGCAAGUGUUUAAGUGCCUUUAUAAUUGAAGCUUAGUAAUCUUCCCAUCUGUAAAAGCUAAGUGAUUAGCCAUUACUGAAAAACUGCAUCUGACAUUUUUCCCAUACAGUAUAAUUCCAAGGAUGGUAACCUGCUUUAUACCGAAAUAAGCCCACUGACAGAACUGUUCAGACUGCUAGAUCAAGGCAAGUAUUUACCUACAUACACAGCUUGAAGAUCAAAGUUGUGUGAUGCUUCUUAUCUUCAGUAACCUUAUCCAUGGCUAGCAUACUACAGUGAAAUACACUUGUUUUGUGGUGAAAAAUUGAAGAGAGGAACACUCCUUGCCUCUCUUUUCUGUAUGAUGGUGGCUAACAUGCUAUGGGUGACUCUAGAAAAAAACCAAAGUCAUUCAUGUUAGGCCAGAUAACUUAAUCUCACAGAAUGUUUUAUUGCCAGCACAAAACUAUAGACAACAUGCUACCAGGCAGUAACGAGGCAUUAAAAUUAACAGUGUGCAAUGUGAGUUAUUGAACACUUCUGCAGCAGUCUUAAUUCUAAUUAAAUGCAAGGUGAAUUCAACAUUUGUUGUAUAUUUAACAUUAUUGACUUUGAACUUUGCAGUAAAUGCAGAACUCAAAUGCACAAUUGCAUACACUAUUCAAUAAAGCAAAAUCCAAAAUGUAUCAUAAAUAA